rfam:Schistosoma margrebowiei strain Zambia genome assembly, scaffold: SMRZ_contig0003828
GCACUGCUGAGGAGUCCUACAACAGGACGAAAUGGCUGUCCAAUGC